GUAGAAGUUGCUGCUUUCUUCUCUGUGGGCUCCUUUCUCGUGGAUCUGGACCCCAGGAGUUCCCAGGCAUAGAGAGGAGGGGUGCCAGUGGAGUGUAAGCACCAUGACAACAGGAACUGUGUCUUGACCACUGUUGACUUCCAAGCACCUCAAAUAGGACCUGUCACAUAGAAGUUUCAAUCAAUAUUUGUUGAGUGAAUGAAGACAACAGGUGUCAACUUAGCUUCUACUACAGUUCUAAGACUUUUGCGUCAAGAAGUGGGGACACUCCAGAUGCAAUGUGCCAACGACCUCACAGACACAGGUUGUGGAUAGCAGCAGACAUGGAGGUGGAGGCUGGGCGGCCAGUGAUGCUGUGAGUCAGUUCUGCAGGCUGUACGGGAAGCACGGCACCAGUAUCUGCUUCUGGUGAGGACUCAGGAGCUUAAAAUCAUGGUGGAAGCAGGGAGAGCAAGCAUGUCACAAGCACUUAAGCCAAGUGCACAAUCCCAAAAACCUGAUGGCACCACGACCGUCCGGAAUAUCUGGACCCUUGACAAGGAAUACUUUGUGAGGUGAACAGAAUACUUGCCAACAUCACACAGCUACUAAGCGGGCAGAUCAAGGAUCAAACUCCUGCUUCCAACUUCUUCCUGGCCCCUGGACCUUAACUCAAGGCUCAGUUUAGCCUCAGCUGGUGACAGCUGGUGAGUAAGACAUUCAGUUUUUCUGGGUCUCGGUUUUCCCAACUAUUAAAUGACAGGGUUGGAUGCUGAGUUCAUUUCCAGGGCUCCAGGAUCUGCAAAGGCUCCCCCAGUCCAUCUGACCACAAGAAUUACCCAGGCCUGGGGACACUUGUAAGAAUACUCACCUGAACCUGCAGAAUCACAGCUCCAGAAGAUGAACCUGGGAUUCUCAUUCUGUUUAUUUGUUUGUUUAUUCAAGGGUCCCAGGUGAAUCUUAUCACCAAAUAAGUUUUGGAAAUACAUUUCUAAGGGACUCCUUCCCAAAGGAGCUUCCCAGAACAGAAAGGUCAAAGAGGAGGCAAAAACAUGAUUGUAGUGGCUAUUUCAGCACAGCAACAGUUCCUUCUCAAAUGUCUCCUCUCUAUUAUAAAAAGAAACUUUGCAUCUGAGCCUGAUAUUUAUUUAUGCGAAUUAUUUUGUGGGAUGAAUGGAAGUCUCCAGAACUUUCACGGAAAGUUCCGCUUCCUGGACAACUGUAAAUAGCUCUGCCCUGACAAACUUUGACCAAGUGCAAAUUAAGGAACACUCAAAAGGAGCACAAGCAGAGAUGAGGACACUCUCAGAACUCCUGAAAGGAGAGGCAGAAGCUCAGAGAGGUUAAUCAGCUUAUCUGAAGUCACACAUCUGGUAGGUGGUAGAGGUGGAACCAGACCCAGCCCUCUGCAUCCCUGGCUGGUAUUUUUCCUUCUGAAACACAAGAGUGCAUCAGGGCAAUGUUGCUUCUGCACAGAAAACUGUGGUGCCUACACUGGAGCAAAAGGUGCUCCAAGAA
rnacentral:lncRNA from 1 species